AUUGAACGCUGGCGGCAGGCCUAACACAUGCAAGUCGAGCGGAUGAAGGGAGCUUGCUCCUGGAUUCAGCGGCGGACGGGUGAGUAAUGCCUAGGAAUCUGCCUGGUAGUGGGGGAUAACGUCCGGAAACGGGCGCUAAUACCGCAUACGUCCUGAGGGAGAAAGUGGGGGAUCUUCGGACCUCGCUAUCUGAUAUGCCUAGGUCGGAUUAGCUAGUUGGUGGGGUAAAGGCCUACCAAGGCGACGAUCCGUAACUGGUCUGAGAGGAUGAUCAGUCACACUGGAACUGAGACACGGUCCAGACUCCUACGGGAGGCAGCAGUGGGGAAUAUUGGACAAUGGGCGAAAGCCUGAUCCAGCCAUGCCGCGUGUGUGAAGAAGGUCUUCGGAUUGUAAAGCACUUUAAGUUGGGAGGAAGGGCAGUAAGUUAAUACCUUGCUGUUUUGACGUUACCAACAGAAUAAGCACCGGCUAACUUCGUG
rnacentral:rRNA from 1 species